CAAGAAUGUUACAUGUGUGGAGGUAAGCGAAGGCGGGAAACUAUGUUCCUGAUCAUAGCUGUCAACGUUUCCCUUUUUUAAAAGAGAAAUUCCCUUAUCCCGAAUGGGAUUCCUUGCAAGAAAAGGGAAAGUUGACAGCUAUGUUCCUGAUGCAAGUGCUAAAAUAAAAAAAACUUAUGACAAGUUAAUACUGUAAUGACGACUAAUAAUUUAAUAAUUAGCAAUUCAAUAAUGACAAAUAAGAUUCAUAAUAAGAGGAGCAGUUGUUAAUGAUUUAUACUGAUGACAAUGUGCCUGCCCUUCUAAAACGUUUCCCUUGAGAUACAGUGUCGGGGUAACAGCAAACUACUCCAAUAACCGCAUCUCACGAUUCAGUCAAAAUCAAUUCUGAUCAAAGUAAUAGGAACUUAAUAAAUUACAUAGCAGCAAGUAUUGAAUUUGCCUUUUCAAGUAACUAGUAAGCUGAGUGCUAAUGGUUCUUCUAGAAAUGGUAAUUAUUUUUGUCGUUUAGUCGUGUCCAACUCUUCGUGACCCCAUGGAUUUGUUUGCACAAAGUCUGUGGGGAAGUUAGAUUCCAUGAGAAUUCCUUCCAAUUUCUUUUCAGGGAAUGUUAUAUGAUAUUGCACCAAGCAAUCUUUACCCCACACUUUCCAGUGCAUUUCUAUGUCAGUUUCCUUACUGCAAACAGACAAAGGGGUUGUUGUUGUUGUUGACAACAACAACUUUAAUGGUGCAACCUGAAUUUGCAGGAAUGUGACUGAAUUAUACCCCAAAACAGCCCCCUUGUGGAAGCUCCAAUAGACACAAAUCAUAGAUAUAGUCUGUCCGCGUGAUCCUUCUCCAAAGCUGUGCUUUGUGCCAGGGUCUGGCUUCAGUCAAGCACCUCGACCGCAGCUGAACUCAAGUUGCUCACAGUCUUGAGAUAAAAUGAGUGCACACAAAGCAUGCAGUUCACAGCCCUGCAACCACACAGGGUUUUUUAUUGCAAAACCACAAGCAGAUUCCAGCUUGCAAACAGUUGGUUAAAAGAGGAAGUCUAUUGCAUGGCAGGUGCAAAACCACCUGAGGGGAAUUAAAAGUUUUAAAACCUCAAGUUCCUCCCCAUGCUUGAAAACAAACAAGUGUUUCAAGCAUGUGAUCACUGGCUCUGGAACACUUAGCAAUCCGAAUCCGAGCAGCCACAGACAUCAAAGGAGUUGAUACGGAGGGGGGGGGGGCAUGUCUUCUUCACCUUCUUCUUCGCUACAAUAUAUCCAUUUAUUUCCAAUUGUCAAUGUCAAAAGGGACUAAAAUCUAUAAAAUUCAUAGAAAAUCAACGUGCCAAUUUGCUCAAUUUCUCCAGGACUCCAUGACACCUCCCCUGUCCUCCAUAAUCCCUCAACCAAGGUGUCAAGACCCUAAUCCUGUCAAAUCACUCUGCCAAGCCUUUCCUCCGGCAAUGCCAGGUGACAGAAUAUGCAUACAUGGACCAUUGUCUUCUCAGGAAGUGCUUAUCUGCGCAUAUCUCCAGCUCUGCAUAUUCCCCCCUCCCUCCUCCAUAUGUUAAUCCGGUGUAACCCAACCUCUCCUUAAUAUAUUCAUGAUGUAAUCUGUGUAACCCAACCUCUCCUUAAUGUAUUCAUGAUGUAACUGUGAUGUAUUUUGCACUGUAUUCUGGGACAUGGAGGGAAGUUUCAAAAGUUCAUGUCACCCCUUUCUCGCUGUUCAAUCUCAUCUUGAACCUGUUGCGCAAUAAACUU